GUGCCACACAGGAGGAAAAUCAUUCCCGAGCCUCCUGACCCAAAGGAGACAACAAGAAUUCACAUGAUGGGGCCUGGAAAGGAGGAAGAAGAGGAUGAGCUGGCUCCAAAUGCUGGUUUACAGAGCGUGGUGGGGGGGCUGUGGCCUGGAGAGAACCAGCAGGAACACCCCUGCCUACACCACAGUGCUCUGGGUGGCCACACCAAGCUAGACCACCCUAAAUCCGAGGUUGGAAAGGACUGCCUGCAGAAGUUUGGAGCCCCGGGGAGGGGAACAGCGUGUGCCAGGCAGGCAGGUGGCAGCUUGGUGGCAAUUGCACAGUUGGGCAGCCUUGGAGGAGAGAGCCAGAAGGCCGAGUCAUUCCAGCACACUGGGCUCACAUGGAGGAGCGUAUGGAUCACUGCUGCAGCUGAGACAGUGGAGAGCAUGGGGGAGAGGACCUGGACAUCCCCCAGGGAGGAUGGAGCGACCUUGGGGCCCGUUGGAAGAGGCAGUGUGAGAUGAUGGAAUGCAGUUCCUCCAGGGCUGCUCCAGGCAGGCGUCUCCAGGAAAGCCGCUCUGCAUUGACUUCCAAAUGAGAGUAAUUAAAGCAAAUGAGGCCUUCGCAGGGAAGAGAGCUCCCGGCUGGAUGAUGCUCUCGGCUCAAGCGAGUCACCUAUUUUCGCACGGCUCGUGGGCGUUCCGUGUCAGCGAGGCUCCCGCUCCUCACCAAGGCUGGGUGAGACUGGCCAGAGGCUCCCGAGCUUCUCAGGACUGGGAAGGUGCAUUUUAAGAUCCCACUGUGUGUGAAAUCAAGCUGAAAGCCACGAGACCAUGCAGUUCCCUCUUUAUUUUCCGUGGCUCCAAGGGUCGUGUUUCCCACCUGCUCCUCCCCAGACGGGGCAGGCUCACGUUUUCCUCCUCACUUUGCACGGGAGCUGGCUCUCGGUAUCCUGCUGUGGAUUCACUGGGAUUCUAUUGGGAUCACCUCGAUUGGGAUCACCUCUAUUGGGAUCAUCUCUCCCAGGGUGCACCAGCUCUGACCAGACCAGGUGGGAUGAGAUCCAGAGCGUCUGGUGUGGGUUUGUCACCACCCUCAUGGUCCCACAUGAUGUGGAUUAAUAUGGAUUUUCACCAGGAGCUUAUUCCUACUCCCGUGUCCCAAAAAAUGUGUCUGGAUACUUGUUUUCACCUGGAGGGCUCAGGAAAGAGGAGCAGGUCACCAGCUCCGUCGCCAAGAUGUCCAUCCUUUCAUCCAUCCGUCCAUCCAUCCAUCAUCUCCCUAAGCCAGGAGCAGGACGGGUGGACAUGCAGGGUCAUGUGGAAAGCUGGAGCCACAGGGAUGAACGCUUGCACAACAGAGCUUCCAGCCUUAGGGAGGGGGUCUCCUGUCGAAGCAGAAAAAUGAUGACAGGUUUUAAAAUCCUUCCUUUGCAAGGAGAGUUUUGCAUCUCCUCCAUCUUCCACGAAGGAACAAUAUUAAAACAAAAUAGACUAAAACUGGAGCAAAAUGGUAUUUUGAGGGCUUUUUUUCUAUACCUAACCCACUGCUUCUGGUUUUUCCCCCCACAUUUUCCUUUUUUGUUGUUGUUUUGUUGGGUUUUUUUUACA